UACGGGGGGAGCAAGCGUUGUUCGGAUUUACUGGGCGUAAAGGGCGGGUAGGCGGCCACCGCAAGUCGACUGUGAAAUCUCCGGGCUUAACCCGGAAAGGUCAGCCGAUACUGCGGGGCUAGAGUGCAGAAGGGGCAACUGGAAUUCUCGGUGUAGCGGUGAAAUGCGUAGAUAUCGAGAGGAACACCUGCGGCGAAGGCGGGUCUCUGGACAGUUCCUGACACUGAGGCACGAAGGCCAGGGGAGCAAACGGG
rnacentral:rRNA from 1 species